rnacentral:misc_RNA from 1 species
UGAGAAAGCCCAGGAGAGCCCA